AGGGAUCUUCUGCAAAGUAGGGGGAUAUUUCAUUUAGAUUUCAGGGGAAUACAGUCAAAACUUGGAGGAUCCUAAAGUACAGUGAUGUGGCUGCAUGUUGAUGGAGGAACAGUUCUAUGUAAAACAGUAGCCAUGAAGUCUCACAGGAAUCCCACUGAAAAAAAUAAAGGACCUACAUGAAGAUAUAAGUAGAUCUUCUGUGCUUACUUUAGCAGAAUCCACAUGGGUUCCGCAUGUCUGCUGUAUCCCAUUUUAAUGCUGAUAACAUAUCAUGUAUUGCUAAUAAACUGCCCAAGAAAGUGAUAGGAAAAUAGAAAGUGCAAAUAAUGUAGGGAGUGUGUACUGAAUGCCUGCGCAUCAUCACCCAGAAAUGUAUUUGUCAUUCUGAACAGCCCAGAGGGUUUUGUGACCUUACAGAGGCUGUUUGUCCAGGAGAACGAAGAGCAUUUAGUAAUUCCCACUCUGUGAAUGUUUAGGGGGAGCAGUACUUUUGGACACUAUUUUUUAGAUAACAUGAAACAAUAUUGAUGAACUUCUUCAUAAAUAGUAUGAAAUGCUGCAGUCAUUACUUUGUAACUGCCUGUACUCUUUGGAUAUCACAGGAAUGCAACACUUUUUUUUUUUUUUUUUUUUUUUCAGUGGUUAAAGCAUGACACAAAAUAGCAUCCUGAGAGCAAAAAUGGAGUUCUAAAAUGAUUACAGAACUGGAAUUUUGUUAUGAGUUCAUUCAGCUGAAGGAACAAAUUCCAAAUCUUUCCGAUUAUUAUAAUUGUAUUGAUUGCAUUGAUCUGAGUUGUGUAAUCCUAGAUGAUGCAAAUUCUUACAAUGCGGAACAGAAAGAAUAAAAGAAAAACUGUGUGGGCCCUAAUCCUUUCUCACAGGUAGGAGGUUGGCUUUGGAUUGCUGCAUGUCAAAAUGAACAUCAGUCUUUUCCCUUGAA
rnacentral:lncRNA from 1 species